rnacentral:rRNA from 1 species
CCUACGGGAGGCAGCAGUAGGGAAUUUUCGUCAAUGGGCGCAAGCCUGAACGAGCAAUGCCGCGUGAACGAGGAAGGUCUUCGGAUCGUAAAGUUCUGUUGAAGGGGAAAACGAGCGGAGAGAGGAAAUGGUCUCCGAUUGAUAUUACCCUUCGAGGAAGUCACGGCUAACUACGUGCCAGCAGCCGCGGUAAUACGUAGGUGGCGAGCGUUAUCCGGAAUGAUUGGGCGUAAAGGGUGCGUAGGCGGCCUGCUAAGUCUGGAGUGAAAGGUACCGGCUCAACCGGUACAGGCUCUGGAAACUGGCGGGCUAGAGAGCAGGAGAGGGCGGUGGAACUCCAUGGGUAGCGGUAAAAUGCGUAGAUAGAUGGAAGAACACCAGUGGCGAAGGCGGCCGCCUGGCCUGUUACUGACGCUGAGGAACGAAAGCGUGGGGAGCAAAUAGGAUUAGAUACCCGAGUAGUC